UCACUAAUCAUCAAGGAAAUGCAAAUGAUCACGAAGGUGGUUUCCCCAGGGCGAGGCUUAUCCAUUGCACUCCGGAUGUGCUGAUCCCUGCUUUUUCCCCAAAUGUGGGAAACUUGACUGCAUAAUUUGUGGUAGUGGGGGGGAAAAUGAGGUACCAUCUCAC